CAUGAGAGGCUAAGAUGCAAUUUAGAGAAAAUUGCAACUUUGGGCCCAAAGGUUUGAAUAAUUAAAUUCAAACCUAUAGUUUUUUUUUAAUAUAAUUUUGGGACUCACAAUCCCAUUUUUAUAUUAUUUUUCUCUCUUCCUCUCACGUUGCUCGGCGUUUUCUCGCAAGGGGGGAUUAUUUUCUUUUUUCUUCAGAUUAUAUUGACAAAGAUAGUGGUGAAAAAGGAGUUGUGAAGGGGAACUUGUUAUUCAAGACACAAGGAGCGAGUCCGGCCGAGAAAGCACCAGAGGUGUAACUGUGGUGUAUGAGACACCAUCUUUUACGUUGCCUCUUAUUUUAGAUUAUACAAUGUAUCUUGUGC